AACAGUUUUUCAACUGUGAGUCUGAAGCUGGAGGUCAAGACUGAAGGUGUGACUCUGGGACUCUCCCUGGACAAACCCAUCUUUCAAGCUGCCUGCCUUAGAAUAACAUCAAGACAAGGUUGGGAAGAAAUUCUCCAUUCAUUCUGGUGGACAGAGUGAUUUUGGAAAAGAAUUUCUCAUUCCAAGAGUUUCUACGGACUCUUCAACUGGAUUUCUGCUGCUUGACCCACCAAGGACUCUGUGAAUAUUGUUCAGGAGUGUUGGACUUCCCUUCCCUACCUGAAAAGCUAUCAGAAGCAGCUUCAGAUAAUUUGACUAAUAUCCAUUCACUUGUGCUCAAAGGAAUUUGGUAAUAUUUGAAGAUGGAAGAAACAAAGACAUGAGAUUUGUUCUUAAAGAAUUUAAGAAAGGACCCAAGCUAAAUAUGUUGAACAUAGGAUGUGAUUUCAUUUGAGGGAACGAGAUUGAACCAU
ensembl:lncRNA